GAUGAACGCUGGCGGCGUGCCUAAUACAUGCAAGUCGAGCGAACGGACGAGAAGCUUGCUUUUCUGAUGUUAGCAGCGGACGGGUGAGUAACACGUGGAUAACCUACCUAUAAGACUGGGAUAACUUCGGGAAACCGGAGCUAAUACCGGAUAAUAUUUUGAACCGCAUGGUUCAAAAGUGAAAGACGGUCUUGCUGUCACUUAUAGAUGGAUCCGCGCUGCAUUAGCUAGUUGGUAAGGUAACGGCUUACCAAGGCAACGAUGCAUAGCCGACCUGAGAGGGUGAUCGGCCACACUGGAACUGAGACACGGUCCAGACUCCUACGGGAGGCAGCAGUAGGGAAUCUUCCGCAAUGGGCGAAAGCCUGACGGAGCAACGCCGCGUGAGUGAUGAAGGUCUUCGGAUCGUAAAACUCCGUUAUUAGGGAAGAACAUAUGUGUAAGUAACUGUGCACAUCUUGACGGUACCUAAUCAGAAAGCCACGGCUAACUACGUG
rnacentral:rRNA from 1 species